ensembl:lncRNA
ACCCCCAGCCUCCCCCUGGCCCACCUGGGCCCUUACCCCUGCCCGUGCUGGGAGCUGGGAAACAAAGUAACUUACAUAUACCACUCUCCUACUCUCACCCCCCAUGGCUCCCCAGUACCCUCUGCACAAAACUAAAGUGCAUCACCCCCCUCCUAUGGCAUAGGAAGGUCUGGAAUAGGGGUGGCCUGCAGCCCACCUUGGGGUCAGGGGAAGCUGCCCGCCUGCUGCAGAACGCUCAGCCUGCUCAGGAUCCCUCAGGCUCCAGGUCAGCUGCAAGGCCACUUCCUCAGAGAAGUCCACCUGUCUGCCCUGACACUGAGUCCUUGCCUGGGGAUGGGAAGCGGGUCCUGAGGACCUGACCCAAAAGGAUUCUCGAAUGCCCCUGCACGCUGGAGGAAGGCAGCCUCAACCUCCCCGGACACCAGCAUCCGCAGGAGGCAGCCAAGUCAGGAGUCGGGGGUCAAGCCCUGGCCACCGGGGGAGGGCCAGAGAAGAAGGCAGCUUGCCCAUGGACUCACACCUGGGGAGGAGGAACUGAGAUGAGAAGCCAGGCCAUAGAGCUUGACGGCCAAAGCUUUCAUCACUGUUUCUGCAGCCUUUGUCUACGUGGGGAAAACCGUCUUGAGUGGGAGCAAUGGAGGGAUCUAGAUCAGAGGAGGGCAGUCCAAUCAGAAAGCCCCUCCCUCACUCCAGGCCAGGGUCUGCGGGGGCCUUCCCAGAGGGGACACCAGGGCCCUGUACCUUCUUAGCCAUCCCUCAGCCCGGAGGGGUGCACUGACCCACAGAGUCACUUGAGAGUUGGGACACCCAGCAUGGCUGUGAGCCGUCCUCCAAGACUCCCAGCCUUUCUAGACCUUCCCGUUUUCAGGCUCAAAAAGGGUAGCUGCUGGCCUCUGGUCACCAGCCGGGACGUGGCAGGGCCUUGGGGCUGCUGACAGCUCUGCCGGCCCUCAGUUUCUUCUGCAGGCCUCUGCAGGGUGGUGACCGGACACGUGGCCAAGGGGACUAAUGUGUUCUCCAAAGCCCCUAUGACCCUGACCCGGAAGCCCCCCCUGGCGCCUAGGGCGAGGGUCACACCCGGGCCCAUCUCUCAGGGCCCCUCCCCGUGAGGGCCUCAACCCUGGGAUUAGGGGGCCGGGGUCAGGGGUCAACAGCAUUUGCCUCGGCUCCUUUCAGGCCUCCAGCAGAUCCGUUCUCCCUGCCACCUCAAAUUUCCUGGACAAAGGCUCCGUGGUGGGACCGGGCGGAGGGCCGGGCCAAGCACCCCUGGGAAAACUGCAGCAGCUCAGGGAAGGUGUCUGCCCCCGCCCCCGGCUUCUGCCCACACGGCCCCAUCAAUCCUUAGAUUACCCGCGGGCAGCCAUGGCGGACACACCCAUGCUACAGAUGGAGAAACUGAGGCUGGGGAGGGGCUCAGCCAGGGCUCCAGGCCAGAAGCUGCUCUGCCAAAGGCCCAGUGGAAUUUUGUGCCGGCCACAGCUGAGCACCAGGCUGGAGGCUGUGCUGUGCAGUGCUGGAGGCGGUGUCUGUGAAGGCAGGCAGGCAGGGCUGGCGGCGGACAAAGGCAGGCAGGCCUGGCCCGCAGGGGCGCGUUCCGCUCGUCAGCGUCGGUUCCACUUGAGUCCAUCCUGGACAGGCCGGAAUAAUCCCUCCCGCGACCACUGCUGGGCCGUGACGACUUGAAGGGGCCCCGCGGGCCUGACUGACGGCCAGGCCGAUGGGGGGGGCACCUGGGGCCCCCCCCACACCCCCUAGUGCUGGGAACAGCCUCAAGCCUUCGUUGAUGACAACUUGGGGAAACUGAGUCACGGGAGCACACACGACCUCUUAUAUCACACAUCGAGGGCUGGCAGCCCAUCGAGGCCCAGACCCCAGGCCAGCCUCACCAAGGCCUCCCCAUCCCCGCUGGCUACACAGCCUCGCCAGUGACCUGGGGGAAUUUUGGGGCCUGAACCAGCUGAGUCAUGGGAACUACGGGCCUCCUGUUCAUUUCCCAGCACCUGGGAGGCAGGUACACACAGGUGGCUGGACCAAAGCCAGGCCAGGGGCCCAGGGAAGGCCCCACUGGCUGCUGCCAAGGCUGGUAGACACGGCUAGCUGCCAUGUGCUCAGGCCGCUCGGCGGGGCGCGCCUCCUCCUCCUCCGCUCGCACCUGGGUGCCUGGAAGGGAUUCCGUAGGAAGGGAUCAAUGACCUCAGGAGGAGAGGAGGAAGCAGCUGGGCCAAGAAUAAUUAGCAGACUCAUGGAGCAUGAAGAAGGAGAGACGAGAUUCUUGUCUGCUGGGCUCCUCCCACGCCAACCUCAGCCCUUCCUGGGCUCCAGCCUUCACUGCCUCCACCUGCGGCAACUUCUUCAUGGAUUCAUCCUUCGUCCAGUGGACAUUUAUCUCCCACCAGAUCCCAAGCUGCCCAGGUGGCGCUAGUGGUAAAAAAACCCACCUGCCAGUGCAUGAGCCACAAGAGAUGCAGGCAGAAUCUUUACCUUCACUCCGGGUCUAUCUGGGCCUCAGACCCUUGCUGAACACAGGCCUUCCCUGAGGAACCAGCGCCAGAGAAGGAGGCCAGCACCGCCAGCCUUGCUGGUAAGCAGAAGCACUCAAGUUGGAGUCCAUGCACCAAACACAUUCACUUAAGGAGGACUCCCAACGCCGGUCCUGCCGCCGCGCCCCGCCCGCUCAGGCGCCCUAGCAGAGCCGCUGCGGAGGGUUCUGCCCAUAAUAAAGACUCCGGACCCGCCUGAGCCGCUGGCUGCCUCCCUCCUUAUCCACCCCUCGCUGACGGCCAGGUCCCAGCUGUGGAGCCCCCUCCUCCGGCCUCGGCGUCUCAUCUGUAAAAUGGGUCUCAGCUGGGUCUCUUCUACUAGUAGGGAGGUCAACUGAGGCCCAGCGGGGAGUGGGGGGGUCCCAGUGGAGAGAGAGGCUGAAUGGGGGGCUGGGACCCAGGCCUUGCACCACUUCGCACACCUGGGUAAACUGAGUCCUGGGGAAGCCGACUACUCGACCA